rnacentral:sRNA from 1 species
UUUUAGCCCCGGGAGUAGCGGCAUCCUUUGUUGUCUCGUUUUUUUUGAACGAGACAACAAAGAUAUAGCGAAUCACGGGACGAUGC